rnacentral:tRNA from 1 species
AAGGGAGACCUAAUUCAGGUAGGAGACGAAAAAAAAGUAGUCGCUACCAAGAAUCAAUCCCAAAAGGUCGGAGCGAGGCGAAAUUGGCUUUCAAACUAGGUUCUGGGUUCAAACAAGACCUGAAUCAGGAACAAGGGCUAUUAGCUCAGGUGGUUAGAGCGCACCCCUGAUAAGGGUGAGGUCCCUGGUUCGAGUCCAGGAUGGCCCACCUGCACAGGUGGCAAAAACAAAGAAGCGAGGAAUCAGCACCUUAUCUUAUCUAUAUAUAUAUAGGAGAGAAUGCUGGCUCUGAGUAAAGAGUCCAGAGGAACCUUGAAAACUGCAUAGAGCUAGGUGAAAAAGCCAAAAAAGAAGACCGCAA